rnacentral:rRNA from 1 species
AUACGAAGGGGGCUAGCGUUGUUCGGAAUUACUGGGCGUAAAGCGCGCGUAGGCGGACUGAUCAGUUGGGGGUGAAAUCCCAGGGCUUAACCCUGGAACUGCCUCCAAUACUGUCAGUCUUGAGUUCGGGAGAGGUGAGUGGAAUUCCUAGUGUAGAGGUGAAAUUCGUAGAUAUUAGGAAGAACACCAGUGGCGAAGGCGGCUCACUGGCCCGAUACUGACGCUGAGGCGCGAAGGCGCGGGGAGCAAACAGGAUUAGAAACCCUAGUAGUCC